rnacentral:rRNA from 1 species
GCUGGUUUUUUGCGAAAUUUAUUUAGGUAAAGUAUUAUAUUAAACUUUUAAUGGUAGAGCACUUGAUAGGCUAUGGGGAUUUUUUAAUCUUACUGAACUUAACUAAACUCCGAAUGUUAAAAAAGAUAAAUAUAAUAAACAGACUAUGAGUGACAAGAUUCAUGAGUCGAGAGGGAAACAGCCCAGAUCUAUGGAUAAGGACUUGAAUAGCUGCGAAGUGGAUAGAGGAAGUGAAGCAUCAAAGACAGUUAGGCGGUAGGCUUGGAAGCAGCCAUCCGAUAGGAAACGAGUAAUAGCGUGCUAACCAAGAAGCUUUGCGCCGUAAAUACACGAGACUUAGCAGCUGUCCGAAGCCGAGAAUUCCCCAUGGGGGAGUGGUAACAGAGCGUCCUAUAAAGAAAGAUCACCCAGUGAUCUCCAAAGUAAUCGUAAGAUAACAUAGGAUUGAGUAUGCUAGUAUGAGUAACGAAAAAAAUGGUGAGAAACCAUUUGGCCGGAAGCCUGAGGGUCUCCACGGAUAGUAAUACGCGUGGAGUAAAGCGGUCCCUAAUGGUUAGCUGAGAGGCGUACCAGAUGGGUAUAUUGGAAAUUACGGGUUGUAGAGAAGGUGCAGCAGUGUGCCGGAUAUGGAUGGGUCCCUGUGUCCAUAUGGGCGCAGUGGAUAGUCAAAAGCCCCUAGAAAACAUUGAAAUGCAAUGACCGUGCUUAAACCAACACAGGUAGGCGGGUGCGCAAUGUACCAAGGCAUAGGGAGAAGCUACGUUAAGGAACUCGGCAAAAUGACUCCGUAACUUAGGGAGAAGGAGGACUUGAGAGAAAAGGCUCAAGUGGCACGAAAUAGGUCGGUGCGACUGGUUAACAAAACCACAAUUUCCUGCGAAACCGCAAGGUGAUGUAUAGGAGAUGAGAACUGCCCAAUGCCUCAAACUGAAGUUGGAUGGUUAAGGCUUGAAAAUGGAUGUCAGGUCAAUGGCCGCGGUAACACUGACCGUGUGAAAGUAGCGAGAUACUUUGUCCACUAAUUAUGGUCGUGAUUGAGAGUUAUAACGACACCGGUGCUGUCUCAACGUAGUGCCCAGUGAAAAUGGAGUAGUCGUGAAGAUACGACUAGGCCUCGGCGGGACGAAAAGACCCCAUGCACCUUGACUCAAAAGGCAUAUGGCAAUGAUGGGUUUCGUAUUGUAGGAAGGUGGGAGCAAAGAGUGAAGUGAUUUACUCGGAGCAAAGGUGAAAGACCACUAGCGAAAGUCGUUUAGCUUACCUUGCAAAAGGGAAAGUGUGGCAGUGUGAGUUUGGCUUGGGCGGCAGCCUUCAAAAAGGUAACGAAGGUGUACAUAAGAUGAGCUCACUUGGACCCAGCUCCAGGUUAGAGUAUAAGGAUAUAUGCUCAUUUGACUGUGAGGGUGACAACUCAAGCAGGGAUUUUGUGAACGCACAGAGUCGGUCCUAGUGACCUGGUGGUACCGAAAGGAAGGGCCAUCAUUUAACGGAUAAAAGGUACGCUGGGGAUAACAGGCUGAUACCACCUUAGAGUUCAUAUUAUCGGUGGUGAUUGGCACCUCGAUGUCGAUUCAGCUCAUCCUGGUGGUGAAGUAGCUACCAAAGGUACAACUGUUCGUUGUUUAAAGAGCUACGCGAAUUGGGUUCAGACCGUCGUGAGGCAGGUUGGUCUCUAUCUGCCGAGGCAAAAAAGAAAAAAGUACC